rnacentral:rRNA from 1 species
AAUAUUGGUCAAUGGACGCAAGCCUGACCCAGCAACGCCGCGUGAGUGAUGACAGCCUUCGGGUUGUAAAGCUCUGUCUUCAGGGACGAUAAUGACGGUACCUGAGGAGGAAGCCACGGCUAACUACGUGCCAGCAGCCGCGGUAAUA